CAGUUAUCAAAUGUUAGUGGUAAUUUUAAUUAUGCCACUGUGAAAGCGUCGAUUGUUAAGUAGACAUAAAAAGUUUGAAGUAUGCACAAAGCCUGAAAGUGUCAAAUAUGGAACCUAAAAAAACCUGCUUUUGCCACUGAUUGUAUAAAGGUUUUUUAAGGUCUGUUUGUCAAGCGUCAAGUCAGGUUAUCUUGCUACUGGUACCAUGUAGUACAUCC
rnacentral:lncRNA from 1 species